rnacentral:rRNA from 1 species
AGGAUGAACGCUGGCGGCGUGCCUAACACAUGCAAGUCGAACGUCCUGUCUCGCAAGAGGCAGGGAGUGGCGGACGGGUGAGUACCACGUGGGUCAUCUACCGUGAGGUGAGGAAUACCGGCGAGAAAUCGCCGACAAGACCGCAUAGGCUCGAUGCAAGUCGAGCAAAGCUCUUUCGAGAGAGGGAGCGCCACACGAGGAGCCUGCGCCCGAUUAGCUAGCUGGUGGAGUAACGGUUCACCAGGGCGACGAUCGGUAGCUGGUCUGAGAGGACGAUCAGCCACACUGGGAUUGAGAACGGCCCAGACUCCUACGGGGGGCAGCAGUGAGGAAUUUUCGUCAAUGGGGGCAACCCUGAACGAGCAACGCCGCGUGCAGGAAGAGGUUUCGGAUCGUAACUGCUUUUCUCGGGGAAGAGAACGGACGGUACCCGAGGAAUCAGCCCCGGCUAACUACGCGCCAGCAGCCGCGGU